rnacentral:rRNA from 1 species
CAGCAGCCGCGGGAAUACGGAGGGUGCAAGCGUUAUCCGGAUUUAUUGGGUUUAAAGGGUCCGUAGGCGGAUCUGUAAGUCAGUGGUGAAAUCUCACAGCUUAACUGUGAAACUGCCAUUGAUACUGCAGGUCUUGAGUAAAUUUGAAGUGGCUGGAAUAAGUAGUGUAGCGGUGAAAUGCAUAGAUAUUACUUAGAACACCAAUUGCGAAGGCAGGUCACUAAGAUUUAACUGACGCUGAUGGACGAAAGCGUGGGGAGCGAACAGGAUUAGAUACCCCGGUAGUCCCUGUUCUCUUAUA